rnacentral:rRNA from 1 species
AUACAGAGACUGCAAGCGUUAUUCGGAUUCACUGGGCGUAAAGGGUGCGCAGGCGGCCGUGUGUGUAAGGUGUGAAAUCCCGGGGCUCAACCCCGGAACUGCGCCUUAAACUACAUGGCUAGAGUAUCGGAGAGGGUAGUGGAAUUCACGGUGUAGCAGUGAAAUGCGUAGAUAUCGUGAGGAACACCAGAGGCGAAGGCGACUACCUGGACGAUUACUGACGCUCAGGCACGAAAGCGUGGGGAGCAAAAGGGAUUAGAUACCCCUGUAGUCCACGCCCUAAACGGUGCACACUGGGUCUUGGCGGAUUCGACCCCUCCAGGGCCCAAGCUAACGCGUUAAGUGUGCCGCCUGAGGACUACGGCCGCAAGGCUAAA